GCGGCGCAUUAGCUAGUCGGCGGGGUAACGGCCCACCGAGGCGACGAUGCGUAGGGGUUCUGAGAGGAAGGUCCCCCACACUGGUACUGAGACACGGACCAGACUCCUACGGGAGGCAGCAGUGAGGAAUAUUGGUCAAUGGCCGGGAGGCUGAACCAGCCAAGUCGCGUGAGGGAAGACGGCCCUACGGGUUGUAAACCUCUUUUGUCAGGGAGCAAGAGGCGGGUCGAGACCUGCUGUGAGAGUACCUGAAGAAAAAGCAUCGGCUAACUCCGUGCCAGCAGCCGCGGUAAUACGGAGGAUGCGAGCGUUAUCCGGAUUUAUUGGGUUUAAAGGGUGCGCAGGCGGAGGCACAAGUCAGCGGUAAAAUCGCGGGGCUCAACCCCGCUCCGCCGUUGAAACUGUGUCCCUUGAGUGCGCGAAGGGUAGGCGGAAUGCGUGGUGUAGCGGUGAAAUGCAUAGAUAUCACGCAGAACUCCGAUCGCGAAGGCAGCCUACCGGCGCGCAACUGACGCUCAUGCACGAAAGCGUGGGUAUCGAACAGGAUUAGAUACCCUGGUAGUCCACGCAGUAAACGAUGAAUGCUAUCUGUCCGGCCGGAAUGACGGCUGG
rnacentral:rRNA from 1 species